GUUAUUUGACCCGGGCGUGUGCUCAUGGUGUCAAAGGUGAAGAAGGUUAUAUAUUUGGUGGAAUCGACAGUCGACGCGUAGAAGCUGAUAAUAUGGUUGCGGGGCGUAUAGUGCAGCAUACUCGUUGCUGACAUCAGAAGCACAAAGUAGAGGAUUUAUCGACAAAUACAUAGGAAAUAGAGGAGACAUACAAGUUAAAGAUCGACGCUUAUUUGACACUUACUGGCCUCUGCAGUACUACUACCCGAAUAAGACGGAAGUGAACGACUCUAAUUAUGAUCCUUUCGCGGGCUACGAGCCGUACUGGCCGCAUGCAUACUGGUACCAUAACGCCAGUAGACUGCCCACCAAGGAUCCACGGUGCCUCUAUACCA